rnacentral:rRNA from 1 species
UCGAGCGGCAGCGCGGGGGCACCCUGGCGGCGAGCGGCGAACGGGUGAGGAAUACAUCGGAACGUACCCCGGAGUGGGGGAUAACGCCGGAAAGCGGGCUAAU